rnacentral:rRNA from 1 species
AUUGAACGCUGGCGGCAUGCUUUACACAUGCAAGUCGAACGGUAACAGGCCUUCGGGUGCUGACGAGUGGCGAACGGGUGAGUAAUGCAUCGGAACGUACCCAGAGGUGGGGGAUAACGCAGCGAAAGCUGUGCUAAUACCGCAUGUGAUCUGAGGAUUAAAGCGGGGGACCGAGCAGCAAUGUUUGGCCUCGCGCCUUUGGAGCGGCCGAUGUCGGAUUAGCUAGUUGGUGGGGUAAAGGCCUACCAAGGCGAGGAUCCGUAGCUGGUCUGAGAGGACGACCAGCCACACUGGGACUGAGCCACGGCCCAGACUCCUCCGGGAGGCAGCAGUGGGGAAUUUUGGACAAUGGGCGCAAGCCUGAUCCAGCAAUGCCGCGUGCGGGAAGAAGGCCUUCGGGUUGUAAACCGCUUUUGGCAGGAACGAAACGGUGUCCGCUAAUACCGGGCGCUAAUGACGGUACCUGCAGAAUAAGCACCGGCUAACUACGUG